GACGUGCUUGCACUGAAUGAGAUUUUAACACGAAGUGAGUGGCGGACGGGUGAGUAACACGUGGGUAACCUGCCCAGAAGCAGGGGAUAACACCUGGAAACAGAUGCUAAUACCGUAUAACAGAGAAAACCGCCUGGUUUUCUUUUAAAAGAUGGCUCUGCUAUCACUUCUGGAUGGACCCGCGGCGCAUUAGCUAGUUGGUGAGGUAACGGCUCACCAAGGCGAUGAUGCGUAGCCGACCUGAGAGGGUAAUCGGCCACAUUGGGACUGAGACACGGCCCAGACUCCUACGGGAGGCAGCAGUAGGGAAUCUUCCACAAUGGACGCAAGUCUGAUGGAGCAACGCCGCGUGAGUGAAGAAGGGUUUCGGCUCGUAAAGCUCUGUUGUUAAAGAAGAACGUGGGUGAGAGUAACUAUUCACCCAGUGACGGUAUUUAACCAGAAAGCCACGGCUAACUACGUGCCAGCAGCCGCGGUAAUACGUAGGUGGCAAGCGUUAUCCGGAUUUAUUGGGCGUAAAGCGAGCGCAGGCGGUCUUUUAAGUCUAAUGUGAAAGCCUUCGGCUCAACCGAAGAAGUGCAUUGGAAACUGGGAGACUUGAGUGCAGAAGAGGACAGUGGAACUCCAUGUGUAGCGGUGAAAUGCGUAGAUAUAUGGAAGAACACCAGUGGCGAAGGCGGCUGUCUGGUCUGUAACUGACGCUGAGGCUCGAAAGCAUGGGUAGCGAACAGGAUUAGAUACCCUGGUAGUCCAUGCCGUAAACGAUGAUUACUAAGUGUUGGAGGGUUUCCGCCCUUCAGUGCUGCAGCUAACGCAUUAAGUAAUCCGCCUGGGGAGUACGACCGCAAGGUUGAAACUCAAAAGAAUUGACGGGGGCCCGCACAAGCGGUGGAGCAUGUGGUUUAAUUCGAAGCUACGCGAAGAACCUUACCAGGUCUUGACAUCUUCUGCCAACCUAAGAGAUUAGGCGUUCCCUUCGGGGACAGAAUGACAGGUGGUGCAUGGUUGUCGUCAGCUCGUGUCGUGAGAUGUUGGGUUAAGUCCCGCAACGAGCGCAACCCUUAUUACUAGUUGCCAGCAUUCAGUUGGGCACUCUAGUGAGACUGCCGGUGACAAACCGGAGGAAGGUGGGGACGACGUCAAAUCAUCAUGCCCCUUAUGACCUGGGCUACACACGUGCUACAAUGGAUGGUACAACGAGUCGCAAAACCGCGAGGUUUAGCUAAUCUCUUAAAACCAUUCUCAGUUCGGACUGUAGGCUGCAACUCGCCUACACGAAGUCGGAAUCGCUAGUAAUCGCGGAUCAGCAUGCCGCGGUGAAUACGUUCCCGGGCCUUGUACACACCGCCCGUCACACCAUGAGAGUUUGUAACACCCAAAGCCGGUGGGGUAACCU
rnacentral:rRNA from 1 species